UUAUCUCCUCGUGGAUGAUUAUUAUUUCAGUAUCCUCCCCAGUUUAUCAUCUGGAUGAAACCACUCCCCUUGAGUUAUAUCCUCAUUUGGUUGAGUCUUUGAUUGAUCGUUUCUUUCUAGUUCUUACCUGGAUAGAUAUUUUGGUCUCCGAGAGUUUAUUACCCAGUAACUUGUAAUAUUUUUCUUGAUGUUGAGUACUUUACCUUUACCCAAUACCCGGUAAAAAGUAAUCUACUUG
rnacentral:lncRNA from 1 species